GAACCGUGCGAACGUUGUUCGGAUUCACUGGGCUUAAAGGGCGCGUAGGCGGCCGCACCAGUCUGGGGUGAAAUCUUUCGGCUCAACCGGAAAAUGGCCUUGGAUACUGUGCGGCUCGAGGGAGGUAGGGGCAACCGGAACGGCCAGUGGAGCGGUGAAAUGCGUUGAUAUUGGCAGGAACGCCGGUGGCGAAAGCGGGUUGCUGGAUCUCUCCUGACGCUGAGGCGCGAAAGCUAGGGUAGCAAACGGGAUUAGAUACCCCGGUAGUCCUAGCCCUAAACGAUGGGUACUAGGUUGCGGACUUGACAUGGGUUCGCAGCCGAAGCAAAAGUGCUAAGUACCCCGCCUGGGGAGUAUGGUCGCAAGGCUGAA
rnacentral:rRNA from 1 species